AAUGAAGUGCCUGAUAAAAGGAUUACUAUGAUAGAGUAAAUUAUGUAAAAUUAAUUUUACCCUCAUUA
rnacentral:tRNA from 1 species